UCUACGGGAGGCAGCAGUGGGGAAUAUUGCGCAAUGGGCGAAAGCCUGACGCAGCGACGCCGCGUGAGGGAUGAAGGUCUUCGGAUCGUAAACCUCUGUCAGCAGGGAAGAACGGUCACUGUGCUAAUCAGCAGUGAAUUGACGGUACCUGCAAAGGAAGCACCGGCUAACUCCGUGCCAGCAGCCGCGGUAAUACGGAGGGUGCGAGCGUUAAUCGGAAUUACUGGGCGUAAAGCGCUCGUAGGCGGUAUGUCAAGUCAAGGGUGAAAUCCCCGCGCUCAACGUGGGAACUGCCUUUGAAACUGGCAAACUGGAGUGUGUGAGAGGAUAGUGGAAUUCCAGGUGUAGGAGUGAAAUCCGUAGAGAUCUGGAGGAACAUCAGUGGCGAAGGCGACUAUCUGGCACAUAACUGACGCUGAGGAGCGAAAGCGUGGGUAGCAAACAGGAUUAGAUACCCGAGUAGUC
rnacentral:rRNA from 1 species